rnacentral:rRNA from 1 species
AUUGAACGCUGGCGGCAUGCCUUACACAUGCAAGUCGAACGGCAGCACGGGAGCAAUCCUGGUGGCGAGUGGCGAACGGGUGAGUAAUAUAUCGGAACGUGCCCAGUCGUGGGGGAUAACGUAGCGAAAGCUACGCUAAUACCGCAUACGAUCUAUGGAUGAAAGCGGGGGAUCGCAAGACCUCGCGCGAUUGGAGCGGCCGAUAUCAGAUUAGGUAGUUGGUGAGGUAAAGGCUCACCAAACCGACGAUCUGUAGCUGGUCUGAGAGGACGACCAGCCACACUGGGACUGAGACACGGCCCAGACUCCUACGGGAGGCAGCAGUGGGGAAUUUUGGACAAUGGGCGCAAGCCUGAUCCAGCAAUGCCGCGUGCAGGAUGAAGGCCUUC